rnacentral:rRNA from 1 species
CCUACGGGAGGCAGCAGUGGGGAAUUUUGGACAAUGGGCGCAAGCCUGAUCCAGCCAUGCCGCGUGUGGGAAGAAGGCCUUCGGGUUGUAAACCACUUUUGUCAGGGAAGAAACGGCUCUUACUAAUAUUAGGGGCUAAUGACGGUACCUGAAGAAUAAGCACCGGCUAACUACGUGCCAGCAGCCGCGGUAAUACGUAGGGUGCAAGCGUUAAUCGGAAUUACUGGGCGUAAAGCGUGCGCAGGCGGCUUUGCAAGACAGAUGUGAAAUCCCCGGGCUCAACCUGGGAACCGCAUUUGUGACUGCAUGGCUAGAGUACGGUAGAGGGGGAUGGAAUUCCGCGUGUAGCAGUGAAAUGCGUAGAUAUGCGGAGGAACACCGAUGGCGAAGGCAAUCCCCUGGACCUGUACUGACGCUCAUGCACGAAAGCGUGGGGAGCAAACAGGAUUAGAUACCCUGGUAGUCCACGCCCUAAACGAUGUCAACUGGUUGUUGGACGGCUUGCUGUUCAGUAACGAAGCUAACGCGUGAAGUUGACCGCCUGGGGAGUACGGCCGCAAGGUUGAAACGUUAAAGGAAGUUGACGG